rnacentral:rRNA from 1 species
UUAGGGGGGGGAACGGAAGAACCUUUCCCGGUUUUGACCUUCCCAGAACUUUCCAGAGAUGGAGUGGUGCCUUUGGGAACUGUGAGACCGGUUGGGCAUGGGUGUUGUCAACUUGGGUUGUGAAAUGGUGGGUUAAGUUCCGCAACGAGCGCAACCCUUAUCCUUUGUUGCCAGCGGUUCGGCCGGGAACUCAAAGGAGACUGCCAGUGAUAAACUGGAGGAAGGUGGGGAUGACGUCAAGUCAUCAUGCCCCUUAUGACCAGGGCUACACACGUGCUACAAUGGCGCAUACAAAGAGAAGCGAUCUCGCGAGAGCAAGCGAAUCUCAUAAAGUGCGUCUCAGUUCGGAUUGGAGUCUGCAACUCGCACUCCAUGAAGUCUGGAAUCGCUAGUAAUUCGGGCAUCAGCAAGCACGUCCA